ACGGGAGGCAGCAGUGAGGAAUAUUGGUCAAUGGUCGGAAGACUGAACCAGCCAAGUCGCGUGCAGGAAGACGGUCCUAUGGAUUGUAAACUGCUUUUGUACGGGAAUAAAGUGGGGGACGUGUCCCCCUUGGAAUGUACCGUAAGAAUAAGGGUCGGCUAACUCCGUGCCAGCAGCCGCGGUAAUACGGAGGACCCGAGCGUUAUCCGGAUUUAUUGGGUUUAAAGGGUGCGCAGGCGGAGGAUUAAGUCAGCGGUGAAAUUCUCAUGCUCAACAUGAGAACUGCCAUUGAUACUGGUCCCCUUGAGAGAUGUCGAGGAUGGCGGAAUGUGAUGUGUAGCGGUGAAAUGCUUAGAUAUGACGAAGAACUCCGAUUGCGAAGGCAGCUGACUGUAGCGUAACUGACGCUGAAGCUCGAAAGUGCGGGUAUCGAACAGGAUUAGAUACCCUGGUA
rnacentral:rRNA from 1 species